GACGAACGCUGGCGGCGUGCUUAACACAUGCAAGUCGAACGGAAAGGCCCUGCUUUUGUGGGGUGCUCGAGUGGCGAACGGGUGAGUAACACGUGAGUAACCUGUCCUUGACUUUGGGAUAACUUCAGGAAACUGGGGCUAAUACCGGAUAGGAGCUCCUGCUGCAUGUUGGGGGUUGGAAAGUUUCGGCGGUUGGGGAUGGAUUCGCGGCUUAUCAGCUUGUUGGUGGGGUAGUGGCUUACCAAGGCUUUGACGGGUAGCCGGCCUGGGAGGGUGACCGGCCACAUUGGGACUGAGAUACGGCCCAGACUCCUACGGGAGGCAGCAGUGGGGAAUAUUGCACAAUAGGCGGAAGCCUGAUGCAGCAACGCCGCGUGCGGGAUGACGGCCUUCGGGUUGUAAACCGCUUUCGCCUGUGACGAAGCGUGAGUGACGGUAAUGGGUAAAGAAGCACCGGCUAACUACGUG
rnacentral:rRNA from 1 species